AGAGUUUGAUCAUGGCUCAGGAUGAACGCUAGCGGCAGGCCUAACACAUGCAAGUCGAACGGUAACAGAUCUCGCUUGCGAGAUGCUGACGAGUGGCGCACGGGUGCGUAACGCGUAUGCAAUCUACCUUUAACUGAGGAAUAGCCCAGAGAAAUUUGGAUUAAUACCUCAUAGUAUUAUUUAUAGGCAUCUAUUUAUAAUUAAAACUCCGGUGGUUAAAGAUGAGCAUGCGUCCUAUUAGCUAGUUGGUAAGGUAAAAGCUUACCAAGGCUACGAUAGGUAGGGGGCCUGAGAGGGUGACCCCCCACACUGGUACUGAGACACGGACCAGACUCCUACGGGAGGCAGCAGUGAGGAAUAUUGCGCAAUGGAGGAAACUCUGACGCAGCCAUGCCGCGUGCAGGAUGAAUGCCCUAUGGGUUGUAAACUGCUUUUCUGCAAGAAGAAACCUUAGUACGUGUACUAAACUGACGGUAUUGCAGGAAUAAGCACCGGCUAACUCCGUGCCAGCAGCCGCGGUAAUACGGAGGGUGCAAGCGUUAUCCGGAUUUAUUGGGUUUAAAGGGUCCGCAGGCGGAACUUUAAGUCAGUGGUGAAAGCCUACAGCUUAACUGUAGAACUGCCAUUGAUACUGAAGUUCUUGAGUGUGGUUGAAGUGGGCGGAAUAUGUCAUGUA
rnacentral:rRNA from 1 species